rnacentral:rRNA from 1 species
GAUGAACGCUGGCGGCGUGCCUAACACAUGCAAGUCGAGCGAACAGACGAGGAGCUUGCUCCUCUGACGUUAGCGGCGGACGUGUGAGUAACACGUGGAUAACCUACCUAUAAGACUGGGAUAACUUCGGGAAACCGGAGCUAAUACCGGAUAAUAUAUUGAACCGCAUGGUUCAAUAGUGAAAGACGGUUUUGCUGUCACUUAUAGAUGGAUCCGCGCCGCAUUAGCUAGUUGGUAGGGUAACGGCUUACCAAGGCAACGAUGCGUAGCCGACCUGAGAGGGUGAUCGGCCACACUGGAAGUGAGACGCGGUCCAGACUCCUACGGGAGGCAGCAGUAGGGAAUCUUCCGCAAUGGGCGGAAGCUUGACGGAGCAGCGCCGCGUGAGUGAUGAAGGUCUUCGGAUCGUAAAACUCUGUUAUUAGGGAAGAACAAAUGUGUAAGUGACUAUGCACGUCUUGACGGUACCUAAUCAGAAAGCAACGGCUAACUACGUG